rnacentral:misc_RNA from 1 species
GAAAGAACGUAGCGAAAUGCGAUAAGUAAUGUGAAUUGCAGAAUUCAGUGAAUCAUCGAAUCUUUGAACGCACAUUGCGCCCGUCAGUAUUCUGGCGGGCAUGCCUGUUCGAGCGUCAUUACGCCCCUCAAGUCCCCUGUGGACUUGGUGUUGGGGAUCGGCGAGGCUGGUUUUCCAGCACAGCCGUCCCUUAAAUUAAUUGGCGGUCUCGCCGUGGCCCUCCUCUGCGCAGUAGUAAAACACUCGCAACAGGAGCCCGGCGCGGUCCACUGCCGUAAAACCCCCCAACUUUUUAUAGUUGACCUCGAAUCAGGUAGGACUACCCGCUGAACUUAAGCAUAUCAAUAAGCGGAGGA